AUUCACAACAUGGGAAUGAAGUGUGAUGGGAGGAAAGAGACUUGGGAUUAUUUUCCCUUUACUAACCAUUGUCUACAUACAGAUUCGAGGACUCUGAAAUCUUUCUUUACAGCUUGGCCUAAGGGCAAAUUUACAUUUUUUACUUAGAUCAUAUUUUUUCCUUCAUGUUGAUGACCACAGAGGGUGAAGGCAGCUGCAACUUGGUGCUGAAAGGCCUCAAUGCUUUAGAAAUUGAUGGAAAUGGGAAAGAAAGCCAUGGGAGCUGCUCCCUCCUGUGGAGCAGCUGUUGACAGAAGCAGAUCAGCCCCCACUCAGAACUGCAGCCAUGGCACAGGGACCCGGGGCCACUUUUAUCAUCAGCUCUGCAUGAUGGCCAAGGGACCCUACUGCCAUGGGUGGGCACAGAGCUCGAUUUCCCUCCUUGGAAGGACCAGCACAUCAAAGAGGAUGCAGCAAGAGAUGGUAGAGGAAGUGUAAGAGAAAAUGCCAGUCACUGUGCUGCAGCAGAAUGAUUUGUUCCACUGCAAGAAUUAUGCAAACUCAUUGCAUUCACUGAACCAUGAUGGGAAUGGAUGGGGCAGUUCAUGCCUCUCAAAGCUGGGGCUGACACUGCCAGAUUGGCAUGGGGUUAUCAAUGCCAUAAGUUUUAAGGUUGUUUUUGCCUUGCGAAAGGCUGGAAUUAAAUUGCUGGAGAAAGAAAAUUUUAGAUUCUGGAGUAGAGUUUCAUGGCACAAGGCUGAUCCUGGAAAUUGCUCAGCUAAAACUGCAGAGACAGGUAAAUAGCAGCACACAAGGGCAUGGAUGUGUGCAUCCGCUAUGCUCAUGUGCCCUCCUGUAUCCUCCUCCUUUGAAGCCCUGUGCUGCCUCUGGUUGUGUUCAUUUGCUCCUGAAAACAUCCAUACAACAGAACGGGACCACAGCAUACACUUGCUGUGACCCGGCUCAGGUCUUCACAGGCACAGGUGAGCUCAGGUAUCCUCCCCACCUGCAGCUCUUCCUUUGCUGCCGUCUCAGCCUCCAUGCUGAUGUCUCCUGCAGACGUCUCACUUCAUCUCUCACAUCACUGAACAUCCUCAGAGGACACAGUCCUGUGCUUAUGCUUAUACUGUUUAGUUUCUGUGCCUAAGGGAAUGCUGCACUUGCUGAGCAGUCUGGCAGGGAAAACAGCAGUAAGUACUUCAGCUAAUAAGGAGCCAGAAAAUGCAGAUAUGCAAGCAACCACCUUCCAUCUUUUAGCCCAGCCUAUCUUACCACAUUUCAGACUGCACAUGACACCAAGUGAGACUGGUUUCAGGGAGACUAACCAAUGAUACUGAAUACAGGUUGUUUGUGUAAACACAUUAAUACAUCAUUACUAAUAUUAACCUGGAUUUUACUGGUGCUGCUGAGCCUUAUCUGAAUAGCUACUCUCCAAGCAGACAUGUUCUCUGCCCCACACAGCACAUGAGCAGCAGAUCCCACUUACUCAGGUUCACAUGUCAACUGGGCUGGCUGUAAGGAAGAGCAGGGAACAGUCACUUCUCAAAGAAGAAUGUGAACUGAUGGAGCACUGAAGCUCAGGUUCUGGCUAGGAGCAGCUAUGAAAAUGACUAUGCUAAAAGAUCAGUGUGGAAAAGUAAAGAGGAAUCCUAUUUGCAGAACUCAAAUUCAUGCCCUCACAUGUAAUGGAAGCAGCUUUUACUUCAAGCGGUGAAUGCUAGGAGGAGCAGAAAACACUGGCUUUGGCUUUUGGACACCCAUAAAUAACCAAUCAACCUGCCCAGCCCAAGCAGCACCGGCACAUUUAUCUCAGAGCACAGACAUGGCAGAGUUUCCUGGCUACACUGCAUUGUACUCCACAGGACAUGGAGGGAGAGGAGCUGGCCACAGAGCAGCUAUUUAUGUGUAGGCCUUUGGGCCAACAGCAAGGUCCUUUUUCUUUUCCUGUACUUCUGGCCCCACUGCCCGCUUCUUGGGACUCUGCAGCCUUGCACGCAGGGGGAUGAACAGCAGCGGGGCAGCCACCUUACCAAGGGCUGCAGUCACCUCCAGUUCUGCAUGGGGCCAUCAUGUGACCCAUGAGAUGUGGGGUGUUCUUGAGGUACUUCACACCCAGCACAAGCCAGAAACAGGGCUAACCUGUAUAUCACACCUCUACCUUUAAAAUUCUUGUGGGAGCAUUACUGUCAUUACAGAAGCAGCACACACUUUCUUUCACCAGUAUCCACCUCCCCAACUCAGCCAGCAGCAGGCAGUUUUGCCACAUUGUCCUCAAGAUGACUAGAAGCAGAUGGAGGGGGGCACAGAGUCGCCUUCAUCCUCCAUCUGGCACUGCCUACUUUUAGCUCCACACCUCCCUGGGAGGAUUUUUGGUCUCCUGCUCAGCACUGCUUGCUGUGCUGGAGCCAUUCAUGUGGACUGCUGCCCCCAGCACAUCAUGCCCUGCAUGCAGCCCAGCCCUGAAAAUUUCCAGGCCUUCUAUGGAAAUUUUUAUGUUAAAAAUAAAAGCAGGUGAUGUACUGAAGACUGCCAUGCGUGCUGUAUUUAUGCAGCGCAUAAAAAGUUAUAGGAAUUUUUGGUAGCUUUAAUAAAAUAUAUUUGAAUACAUGUGAUUGUGGUGCAAUAUAAGAGAAGAAAAAGCAAAGUCUUCUCAGAGGGAGAAUCCUGCAGAAAAGAACUGUUUUGGCCACUAUAAAUGCAGGCCUACUGCCCUAUCCAACAAGCAAAGAGCUCAUCCAGCUUACACAUACAGACAUAGAUUUUACAAAUACUCCCAUAAUCUUAAGUUUACAAUAACAGGAUUGGAUGUAUAGCUGGGAUUCAGCAAACUACAUUGGUCUUGAAAGGCCACAUUUUAUUUCACUACCGUAGUGUCAGUGAAUUCAUUUGAACAAACUUUUAGUGAGGACACCUGACAACUCAUUAUUUAUUCACUGCUUUAUAUCUCAUUUACCCAUUUAUAAACUUUUUUGGAAAAACUUUGUGUUGGUUAGUGCUUGCUGAAGACGAGUUCUCAUUAAGGCUAAAUGGUGAUAAAAGCAUGCACACUUCUAUAUUUUUUUCAUGGUCCAAUGGAAACUCAGACAAUAAGAAUAGAGAAGAUAACAGAUACACAUGGGUGGAAGCCGCAUUCCUUCAGGAGCAAACCCAGAGAUACUUCCUUAUGAAGUCAUUUACAGUUCAGAACAUCAGAAGCAGGGGAAAAGAAACAGCAAAAAAAGUCCCUCAGUCAUAAAAUACGUAAAGACCUUUUGAAACGACCUCAGAAAUGACAAAAAGCCCCCUCUGUAACUCUUCAGAUGUUUAUGAGCAAGACUACAUGAUAUGAUUGACUAUGCUAGCAGGCAACUCGAUCUGAUGACCUGCAAAGGGCUUUCCAGCCUUCUGACCUGUGUUACUGCCUUUAUUGAUUAUCUGUGGCUAGUAAUAGGUUUAAAUUUUGAUUACCACAGUGUUUGACAUACAUGGUACUUGUAUUGUAUUUCUAUAGACUAAUUAACAGGUGCAGUUCUUCAAGGAGAUAAAUGGACAGGACCAAAACCUUUUCUACUUAUAUGAGUGGAGAAGACUGUGGAUGCUACUCUGUUUUUCCCCAUGGAAAUAAUUAUUCUAGAUACAGAGGAUGCACGUAGUGCCACAAAAAAAGGCAGAACAUUCAUGAAAUCUGGAUCCAAAGUUUGAUAUGGCUUUCAGUGUCUUUGUCAGGACUCAAUUUCAUACAAAGUCCAGAUUCAGAAUCCUUUUUUACAUGGAGUUUUGUUAUUUUUACAUAGAUUUGUGAUAGUACUGUUUCUGCAUAUCAAAGUAGUUUCAGAGUGGUGUCAUCCCACUGAUUUAACAGACUGUAAGGUUAAGUUUAGCUUAGGUUCUUUUAAGCAUCACUGUGCUC
rnacentral:lncRNA from 7 species